GAAAUACUCCCUCCGUUUUAAAUUACUCGUCGCAGAAAUGGAUGUAUCUAGAACUUAAAUACAUCUAGAUACAUUCAUACCUGCGACAAGUAAUAUGGGACGGAGGGAGUAUUAC
rnacentral:pre_miRNA from 1 species